UCCGUAGGUGGAUAAUUAAGUCAGAGGUGAAAUCCUGCAGCUCAACUGUAGAAUUGCCCUUGAUACUGGUUAUCUUGAGUCAUUAUGAAGUGGUUAGAAUGUGUAGUGUAGCGGUGAAAUGCAUAGAUAUUACACAGAAUACCGAUUGCGAAGGCAGAUCACUAAUAAUGUACUGACACUGAGGGACGAAAGCGUGGGGAGCGAACAGGAUUAGAUACCCUGGUAGUCC
rnacentral:rRNA from 1 species